rnacentral:rRNA from 1 species
UCGGGAAUUUUGGGCAAUGGGGGAAACCCUGACCCAGCAACGCCGCGUGAAGGAUGAAGUAUUUCGGUAUGUAAACUUCGAAAGAAUAGGAAGAAUAAAUGACGGUACUAUUUAUAAGGUCCGGCUAACUACGUGCCAGCAGCCGCGGUAAUACGUAGGGACCAAGCGUUGUUCGGAUUUACUGGACGUAAAGGGCGCGUAGGCGGCAAUUCAAGUCAUCUGUGAAAUCUCCGGGCUUAACUCGGAACGGUCAGAUGAUACUGCUUUGCUAGAGUGCAGAAGGGGCAAUCGGAAUUCUUGGUGUAGCGGUGAAAUGCGUAGAUAUCAAGAGGAACACCUGAGGUGAAGACGGGUUGCUGGGCUGACACUGACGCUGAGGCGCGAAAGCCAGGGGAGCAAACGGGAUUAGAUACCCAGGUAGUCCCUGAGCGGGCUGGCAAGGCGCAU